rnacentral:rRNA from 1 species
GACGAACGCUGGCGGCGUGCUUAACACAUGCAAGUCGAACGGCAAGGCCCUGCUUUUGUGGGGUGCUCGAGUGGCGAACGGGGGAGUAAAACGUGAGUAACCUGCCCUUGACUUUGGGAUAACUUCAGGAAACUGGGGCUAAUACCGGAUAGGAGCUCCUGCUGCAUGGUGGGGGUUGGAAAGUUUCGGCGGUUGGGGAUGGACCCGCGGCUUAUCAGCUUGUUGGUGGGGGAGUGGCUUACCAAGGCUUUGACGGGUAGCCGGCCUGAGAGGGUGACCGGCCACAUUGGGACUGAGAUACGGCCCAGACUCCUACGGGAGGCAGCAGUGGGGAAUAUUGCACAAUGGGCGGAAGCCUGAUGCAGCAACGCCGCGUGCGGGAUGACGGCCUUCGGGUUGUAAACCGCUUUCGCCUGUGACGAAGCGUGAGUGACGGUAAUGGGUAAAGAAGCACCGGCUAACUACGUG